AGACCCGAAACCCGGUGAUCUAGCCAUGGGCAGGUUGAAGGUUGGGUAACACUAACUGGAGGACCGAACCGACUAAUGUUGAAAAAUUAGCGGAUGACCUGUGGCUGGGGGUGAAAGGCCAAUCAAACCGGGAGAUAGCUGGUUCUCCCCGAAAGCUAUUUAGGUAGCGCCUCGUGAAUUCAUCUCCGGGGGUAGAGCACUGUUUCGGCUAGGGGGCCAUCCCGGCUUACCAACCCGAUGCAAACUGCGAAUACCGGAGAAUGUUAUCACGGGAGACACACGGCGGGUGCUAACGUCCGUCGUGAAGAGGGAAACAACCCAGACCGCCAGCUAAGGUCCCAAAGUCAUGGUUAAGUGGGAAACGAUGUGGGAAGGCCCAGACAGCCAGGAUGUUGGCUUAGAAGCAGCCAUCAUUUAAAGAAAGCGUAAUAGCUCACUGGUCGAGUCGGCCUGCGCGGAAGAUGUAACGGGGCUAAACCAUGCACCGAAGCUGCGGCAGCGACACUAUGUGUUGUUGGGUAGGGGAGCGUUCUGUAAGCCUGCGAAGGUGUCUCGUGAGGGAUGCUGGAGGUAUCAGAAGUGCGAAUGCUGACAUAAGU
rnacentral:rRNA from 1 species